rnacentral:rRNA from 1 species
UUGCACUAAAUGACACUAGAUACAAGCGAGCGGCGGACGGGUGAGUAACACGUGGGUAACCUGCCCAAGAGACUGGGAUAACACCUGGAAACAGAUGCUAAUACCGGAUAACAACACUAGACGCAUGUCUAGAGUUUGAAAGAUGGUUCUGCUAUCACUCUUGGAUGGACCUGCGGUGCAUUAGCUAGUUGGUAAGGUAACGGCUUACCAAGGCAAUGAUGCAUAGCCGAGUUGAGAGACUGAUCGGCCACAUUGGGACUGAGACACGGCCCAAACUCCUACGGGAGGCAGCAGUAGGGAAUCUUCCACAAUGGACGAAAGUCUGAUGGAGCAACGCCGCGUGAGUGAAGAAGGGUUUCGGCUCGUAAAGCUCUGUUGGUAGUGAAGAAAGAUAGAGGUAGUAACUGGCCUUUAUUUGACGGUAAUUACUUAGAAAGUCACGGCUAACUACGUGCCAGCAGCCGCGGUAAUACGUAGGUGGCAAGCGUUGUCCGGAUUUAUUGGGCGUAAAGCGAGUGCAGGCGGUUCAAUAAGUCUGAUGUGAAAGCCUUCGGCUCAACCGGAGAAUUGCAUCAGAAACUGUUGAACUUGAGUGCAGAAGAGGAGAGUGGAACUCC